rnacentral:lncRNA from 1 species
UUUGAAUUCAGGUUGAAUAAAAAUAAAAGUCUGAAAGGUGGAAAUGACGUGCAGCAAGGAUGCAGGCAGGUGGGGGCAUCGUACAGAUUCUCUUGAGAUCAUUUUAUUCAUCUCAAAUGAUUUUAGCUGAUAGAUUUCCUGUUCUUAUUUCACAACAGUAAGUGUAAUUUAGUUAGCUUACAUGCUUCUCCAGCUACGUGUCAUCGAGAAGGUUUUUAUUUAAAUGUAAACCUAAAAUGUAACAGUCUUCUCUUCCUCCUCACAUUUAUCUUGCAACAUCGACCUCCUGGCUGCACCUCACCCUCCUCUGCAUCUGCUAAACACCCGAAGUGCAGCGCCAGGCAUGGCCAUGUGCGGCUUUUUUGGCGGCUGUUUCCCGCCUGGGUCGUAGGAACGUUCCUGCUGGUUGGAACUUCUAUCGUUUGUGUGGAGCUGCUCGACUCGCCGAUACCUCUGAAGGUGACAUGGAUGCGCGGCGCUUGUGCUUUAAUUAUCUCUGUGUGUCCACAGAGCUUUUUUUCUCUCUCCUUUGGAACCGAGCUCCCUCGUGUCUCCGGCACAUUUGGAAGUGGGGCACGGUGCCUGGGCGGGACAGCUGGGAGGCGAGGCGGCAGCCAGGGUGGCGCGGUGGCUGGAGGAACGCCAACUGCUCUCAAACAGGUCAUUUUCUCCGUGAGCCAAGAGAUUCUCCUCAACCUUGUGUAUUGUGUCCAGGUGUCUGUGACGGAUGUAGAUCCACGAGACGCCACAGAGGGACAGAUCUCCUCCUGAGCCAACUUAACUUAUCAGGAACACGGACCAAAAAAAUCAGGCUAAUUAAUUAAGAACAGUAUUAGAAGUAAUGGGAUAUUAUAAUAUAAAUUGCUACAUUCUGGAACCAAUUUAAUCCAAUUACUGGAACCCCUCAUGAAUAUAAUACCUCCAAAAUCACCCCGUCAGAGUCCAAAGGGAGAGACGUGUCUGGCUACCAAGACAGAAAAGAAAAAGAAAAAACAGCCCCCUUUUUAACGGUGGAAACCAGUGAAGAUUUAAAUGGUUGAAGGGAGCUGUUAAUUUGAGUAAUAAACCUAAUGAUGAUUUUUUUCCCUUCUAAUUGACAUUUUGACCAUUUAAACCUGAGUAGGUUUUUGUUUGAGCUCCCUCAUGUUUGAUAAAGACGGACGACUGGAAAGGCUGAUUGGUUCUUCUUCUCUUAAUGGUUUCUACCCAAUUUGGAAAAAUAAGAAAAUCCUUAGGAGACAAAGGAACGCUAAUCUCUGCCAGCUGAAGUGGAGUACAUUUGGGAACGGUGGACAGGAUGAAUCGACAGAAAGCAUUUGAUGGAGGACAAUUACAUCAUAUACUAUUAUUCUGCUUUGACGUGGCUUUGCUGUUGAAUCUUUCCCACAUAUGACUGUUUUUAUAGAAGCACAAAUGCAGUCUGCUAAUCCUAAAUUCUAAGAUCUUUUGACAGCCCCUAACCUCUCUGAAAGAGCUGGUUGUAUCAAGAUUUCUUCAUUUUAAAAGAAGGGAUUCAUACCAAAAUCUGCCAGGAGGAGAAGCCCUGAAAAUGGAGCACUCUCAUCUGAACUUUAACCUCCGGUUUUGAUGGUCAAGCUCAUCAAGUUAAACCCAAAAGUCCACCAAAGCCAGUUAUAAAAGAGAAAUCUGAUAUAACUGCUCUUUUAUUAUGUAAAGCAGUUGUUAUUUAACUCCAUUUUUCUUGUCAAUCUGUUACAAUAAACUUUUCUCUUUCGUCAGCCUCCUAUGACCUCACUUCCUGUUUUGCCUUUGCACUUCC